ensembl:lncRNA
GUAUGUGACUGUAGGUGGAGGUAUGUGACUGUAGGUGGAGGUAAGGAGGUAUGGGUCUGUAGGUGGAGGUAAAGAGGUCUGGGACUGUAGAUGGAGGUAAAGAGGUAUGUGACUGUAGGUUGAGGUAUGGGACUGUAGAUGGAGGUGUAGAGGUAUGGGACUGUAGGUGGAGGUAAAGAGGUAUGUUACUGUAGGUGGAGGUAUAGAGGUAUGUGACUGUAGGUUGAGAUAUGGGACUGUAGGUGGAGGUAUGUGACUGUAGGUGGAGGUAUAGAGGUAUGGGACUGUAGGUGUAGGUAAAGAGGUAUGUGACUGUAGGUGGAGGUAUAGAGGUAUGUGACUGUAGGUGGAGGUAUGUGACUCUAAGUGGAGGUAUGUGACUGUAGGUGGAGGUAAAGAGGUCUGGGACUGUAGGUGGAGGUAAAGAGGUAUGUGACUGCAGGUGGAGGUAAAGAGGUAUGUGACUGUAGGUGGAGGUAAAGAGGUAUGUGACUGUAGGUGGAGGUAUGUGACUGUAGGUGGAGGUAAAGAGGCAUGUGACUGUAGGUGGGGGUAUAGAGGUAUGUGACUGUAGGUGGAGGUAUAGAGGCAUGUGACUGUAGGUGGAGGUAUAGAGGCAUGUGACUGUAGGUGGAGGUAUAGAGGUAUGUGACUGUAGGUGGAGGUAUAGAGGCAUGUGACUAUAGGUGGAGGUAUAGAGGUAUGUGACUAUAGGUGGAGGUAUAG